AACGAACGCUGGCGGCGUGCUUAACACAUGCAAGUCGAACGGGAAGGCCGGGUCUAGGGGCGCAGGGGGGCGUACGGCGGGGGAACCUGCCCGUAAGUUCGCAAUCACUCACCGAAAGGGGUGCUAAUACCGGUGAAUGUCUUGGGAGCAAAGAUGUAUCGCCUUUGGGUGGGCCCGCGUUGGAUUAGCUGGUUGGGAGGGUAAAAGCCUACCAAGGCGACGAUCCAUAGCUGGACUGAGAGGAUGAUCAGCAACACUGGGACUGAGACACGGCCCAGACUCCGACGGGAGGAAGCAGUGGGGAAUAUUGGAGCAUGGGCGCAAGCCUGAUCCAGCACUGCCGCGUGAGUGAUGAAGGCGUUAGGGUUGUAAAGCUCUUUUGCCCGGGAUGAUAAUGACAGUACCGGGAGAAUAAGCCCCGGCUAACUCCGUG
rnacentral:rRNA from 1 species